GCUUAAGUGCUAAUGCCAAGUGUUAGAUUUUGUUUAUUUGUUUGUUUGAAAUCAGAGACUAAUUAAUGUCAACCAAAGCUGUUGAAAGAUUUCGGAGCCCUGGUCGGUUUCCAGUGACCAGAUCACUUGUGUAAAACUAAAACAGGUCUUGGUAGAAUUUCUGCGAAUAACAGUUUAACCUUUUGUCUGUAAUCUGUUGUUUCAAAGAGGAAUCUUGAAGCCUGGGUUU
rnacentral:lncRNA from 1 species